AAGUCGUAACAAGGUUUCCGUAGGUGAACCUGCGGAAGGAUCAUUAAUGUAACCGGAUCGGUUCGUGGCAGGUGAGAGCUUGUCGCGGGUCGCGAAGGGAAUAUCAUACACCCUGUGUUAAUUUACCUUUGUUGCUUUGGCGGGCCGUUAGGCUCACGCCCCACUACCGGCUCCGGCUGGUAAGCGCCCGCCAGAGGACCCAAAACCCUGAAUGUUAGUGUCGUCUGAGUACUACAUAAUAGUUAAAA
rnacentral:misc_RNA from 1 species